UACAGAGGGUGCAAGCGUUGUUCGGAAUUAUUGGGCGUAAAGGGAGUGUAGGCGGUUUGAUAAGUCUUCUGUGAAAUCUACGGGCUUAGCCUGUAACGUGCAGAGGAAACUGUCAGACUUGAGUAUUGGAGAGGGCAGGGGAAUUCCCAGUGUAGCGGUGAAAUGCGUAGAUAUUGGGAGGAACACCAGUGGCGAAGGCGGCGCUCUGGGCUGGAACUGACGCUGAGGAGCGAAAGCGUGGGUAGCAAACAGG
rnacentral:rRNA from 1 species